GCAGUCGAACGGGUGUAGCAAUACACUAGUGGCGCACGGGUGCGUAACGCGUAACCAACCUGCCCUUGACUGGGGGAUAGCCCGCCGAAAGGCGGAUUAAUACCGCAUAAACCAACAGCCCGGCAUCGGGCAAUUGGUAAAGAUUUAUUGGUCAAGGAUGGGGUUGCGUAGCAUUAGCUAGUUGGCGGGGUAACGGCCCACCAAGGCGACGAUGCUUAGGGGACCUGAGAGGGUGAUCCCCCACACUGGCACUGAGAUACGGGCCAGACUCCUACGGGAGGCAGCAGUAGGGAAUAUUGGGCAAUGGGCGAGAGCCUGACCCAGCCAUGCCGCGUGCCGGAUGAAGGCCUUCUGGGUUGUAAACGGCUUUUCUCAGGGAAGAAAAAGGGGAUGCGUCCUCAACUGACGGUACCUGAGGAAUAAGCACCGGCUAACUCCGUGCCAGCAGCCGCGGUAAUACGGAGGGUGCAAGCGUUGUCCGGAUUUAUUGGGUUUAAAGGGUGCGUAGGCGGCUUGUUAAGUCCGGGGUGAAAGCCCACAGCUCAACUGUGGAACUGCCCUGGAUACUGGCAAGCUUGAGUCCAGACGAGGUUGGCGGAAUGGAAGGUGUAGCGGUGAAAUGCAUAGAUACCUUCCAGAACCCCGAUUGCGUAGGCAGCUGACUAGGCUGGUACUGACGCUGAGGCACGAAAGCGUGGGGAGCGAACAGGAUU
rnacentral:rRNA from 1 species